rnacentral:rRNA from 1 species
UAGGGAAUCUUCCGCAAUGGGCGAAAGCCUGACGGAGCAACGCCGCGUGAGUGAUGAAGGUCUUCGGAUCGUAAAACUCUGUUAUUAGGGAAGAACAAAUGUGUAAGUAACUAUGCACGUCUUGACGGUACCUAAUCAGAAAGCCACGGCUAACUACGUGCCAGCAGCCGCGGUAAUACGUAGGUGGCAAGCGUUAUCCGGAAUUAUUGGGCGUAAAGCGCGCGUAGGCGGUUUUUUAAGUCUGAUGUGAAAGCCCACGGCUCAACCGUGGAGGGUCAUUGGAAACUGGAAAACUUGAGUGCAGAAGAGGAAAGUGGAAUUCCAUGUGUAGCGGUGAAAUGCGCAGAGAUAUGGAGGAACACCAGUGGCGAAGGCGACUUUCCGGUCUGUAACUGACGCUGAUGUGCGAAAGCGUGGGGAUCAAACAGG